UACGUAGGUGGCAAGCGUUGUCCGGAUUUACUGGGCGUAAAGGAUGCGUAGGCGGACAUUUAAGUCAGAUGUGAAAUACCCGAGCUUAACUUGGGUGCUGCAUUUGAAACUGGGUGUCUAGAGUGCAGGAGAGGUAAGUGGAAUUCCCGGUGUAGCGGUGAAAUGCGCAGAUAUCGGGAAGAACACCCGUGGCGAAGGCGGCUCUCUGGGACGGUACUGACGCUGAGACGGCGAAAAGCGUGGGGAGCGAACAGG
rnacentral:rRNA from 1 species